rnacentral:rRNA from 1 species
UACGGAGGGUGCAAGCGUUAUCCGGAUUCACUGGGUUUAAAGGGUGCGUAGGCGGGCCUUUAAGUCAGUGGUGAAAUCCUCCGACUCAAUCGGAGAACUGCCAUUGAUACUAUUGGUCUUGAAUACAGUUGAGGUGGGCGGAAUGUGUCAUGUAGCGGUGAAAUGCAUAGAUAUGUCACAGAACACCAAUUGCGAAGGCAGCUUACUAAGGUUUAAUUGACGCUGAGGCACGAAAGCGUGGGGAUCAAACAGG